AAGCAACUUCCUCUAGGUCUGAAUUGCAUGUUUUGUUGUGCGUUUGUUAUCUUGUUUUUGUUGUAGUAGCAUUCUUCCUCACUGUGAUUGUUUUUCCUGCAUAUGCUACACCACUUUGACUGAGAUGAUUCUGACCUGAACGUGUCCUGCACAUUUUGAACAUUUUUGAAUUUCUGAAACCUUGCUGCAAAUGCACCUUCUGCAUUUCCACCAUUUCUGUCAUCUAAUCUCUUCUCUUGUCCUUGUAAGGCAUUGACUACCUCAGCCACUGUUAUAGUUGAAAGGUCUUUUGUCUGCUCUAUAACACCCACAUAUGAGUCAAACCUCUCUUGCAAGGAGCACAAUAUCUUGGAGACAAUCAUGCUCUCAGGUUGUAAAAGUUGGCCCUUAGUCUCUGCAGCAUUAUCAUGGAACCUUUUGAGUCUCCUUGAAACCUCAGCUUCAACACUUCCCAUGCUUCUCUUGACGUUUCAGUCACCGACAGGUGUAGCUAACUUAGAUGAUUCUGGAAUUCCCUCAGUUACUAUCUUCCACAACCCCUUAGACUUAAGGAUUGCCUUCAUCUUAAUGACCCAUAAGCUAUAGUUAUUCCCAUCACACACUGGAACCACUAAUCUUCAAGCUUCAAGGCCACCAAGACCGUGUAGCUCUGAUACCAUGUUGGAAAUAGAUCUGGAAGCUGCCCCUUUUAACAGUUUUACUUCUUACUUCCUUAAAAGUGUUCUUACAGCCACACAAAACAUAUUUAUACUACACUUACCUUAACCUACUUAUCCUCCUCCAUCAACCUAAAAACGAGACCCAUAAUACAUUGGGGCCUUAAUUAAGUUUAUGGCCCAAUGGCCUUCUUACUUGUCUACUUAUUACAAAACACAGAGUUUAA